UACGUAGGUGGCAAGCGUUGUCCGGAUUUACUGGGCGUAAAGAGCGCGCAGGCGGUCGUUCAAGUCGCGUGUGAAAGCCCCCGGCUCAACUGGGGAGGGUCAUUCGAUACUGUUCGACUCGAAGGCAGGAGAGGGAAGUGGAAUUCCCGGUGUAGUGGUGAAAUGCGUAGAUAUCGGGAGGAACACCAGUGGCGAAGGCGGACUUCCUGGCCUGUUCUUGACGCUGAGGCGCGAAAGCUAGGGGAG
rnacentral:rRNA from 1 species